UGAGGAAUAUUGGUCAAUGGGCGAGAGCCUGAACCAGCCAAGUCGCGUGAGGGAUGACUGCCCUAUGGGUUGUAAACCUCUUUUGUAUGGGGGGAAUAAGCUUUACGAGUAGAGUGAUGACAGUACCAUACGAAUAAGCAUCGGCUAACUCCGUGCCAGCAGCCGCGGUAAUACGGAGGAUGCGAGCGUUAUCCGGAUUUAUUGGGUUUAAAGGGUGCGUAGGCGGCAUUAUAAGUUAGUGGUAAAAUAUUGGGGCUUCACCUCACUACGCCAUUAAUACUGUAGAGCUAGAGAACAGACGAG
rnacentral:rRNA from 1 species